GUCUAUAUAGAUUCUUAAUAUAAAGUCUAACCUGCCCACUGAAUUAUUAAAGGGCUGCGGUAAUUUGACCGUGCAAAGGUAGCAUAAUCAGUAGUCUUUUAAUUGAAGGCUUGAAUGAACGGUUGGAUGAGAGAGAGGCUGUCUCCCCCAUAAAAUGGAAUUUGACUUUUAAGUGAAAAGGCUUAAAUUAGCUAAAGGGACGAUAAGACCCUAUAAAACUUAAUAUAAAUUAUACUCUAUUUUUAAAUUAUAAAUAAUCAUGAUAAAGUUUAGUUUAUAUUUUGUUGGGGAGAUAUUGAUAUAAAUUGUAACUGUCUAAUUUAAAAAAAUAAUAAUCAUUAUAAUAUGAUCCUUCAUUGAGGAUAAAAAGAAUAAGUUACUUUAGGGAUAACAGCGUAAUUUUUUCUGAGAGUUCUUAUCGAAGAAAGUAGUUGCGACCUCGAUGUUGAAUUAAAAUUUCAGCUAGGUGUAGCCGCUUAGCU
rnacentral:rRNA from 1 species